UCUAGAACUCGAGAUAUGGGCGAACACCAAACAGUAUCUGGGCUGCAGGACAGAUUCAGACGUCUCUUUUGUUACUAAGAUUUGAACUUGAAAACGGAAGAUGUGAAUCUUGGACUCUUCAUGAAAGGUUUAGACCUAUGUCUUAUCUUUCCAUC
rfam:Populus trichocarpa scaffold_11_contig_440, whole genome shotgun sequence.